ensembl:lncRNA novel transcript
GGGAGGGGGGAGGGGGCCAGGCAGCCGUUAGACAGCACAACCGAACCCAACACCGGGGCCCAACGGCAGGGGCUUGGGCAGGAGCAAGGUCCGAGGGCUGCCAGGUCCACGCUGCUUUUAUGAGCUGUAACACUCACCGCGAAGAUCUGCAGCUUCACUCCUGAGCCCAGCGAGACCACGAGCCCACCGGGAGGAACAAACAACUCCAGACGCGCUGCCUUAAGAGCUGUAACACUUGCCGUGAAGGUCUGCAGCUUCACUCCUGAGCCAGCGAGACCACGAACCCACCAGAAGGAAGAAACUCCGAACACAUCUCAACAUCAGAACGGACAGACUCCAGACGCACCACCUUAAGAGCUGUAACACUCACCGCGAGGUUCCGCGGCUUCAUUCUUGAACAAUGAAUCCUCCAAUGUACCUGACUCUCCCUUUGCGAAGAGCAUCUCCGUGGCAGAAAUCUGAAAAUGCCCCUGGGGAGACACAUGCACAAGACAGUUCGUGAGCCACACAUCUCCCCACACCAAGCUCCUCCAUACAAGACCUCGGACUGCAUCACAGCUAUCAGCUUCCCAGUUUGCACAAUUCAUCAAGAAAUUAUGCGGGGUCACUGGCACAAAUGAUGAGGCAUCUCCUGGAAGCUUAACUUCUUAUCCAUCCCAUCUCUUGGACAGAUGAUGCCAGUUAAUUACUUUGAAUAGAAGACUCACUGGUGGCACCUGCAGCUGCGGCGUUUUCCCCAAGCUGGUCUGUGGAGAAGCCUGGGACAGAAAGAAGCAGCCAGACUCCAGAAUCCCCCAUUUUAAUAGCUAUUCUAUGCUAUGUCCCCGUCUUAUUCCUGGCAACUUACCUCUCAGCUCGUGCACUGUGACAUUACAGCAAGAAGUACUAAUAUAAAUGACACAAAAGAAAAAAGAAA